rnacentral:rRNA from 1 species
CCUANGGGGGGCUGCAAUUAGGAAUCUUGCGCAAUGGGGGAAACCCUGACGCAGCGACGCCGCGUGAAGGAUGACGGCCUUCGGGUUGUAAACUUCUUUUAAGAGGGAAGAAGCAAGUGACGGUACCUCUUGAAUAAGCCCCGGCUAACUACGUGCCAGCAGCCGCGGUAAUACGUAGGGGGCGAGCGUUGUCCGAAGUUACUGGGCGUAAAGCGCGCGUAGGCGGGCUAUUAAGUUGGAUGUGAAAUCUCCGGGCUCAACCCGGAAACCGCAUUCAAAACUGUUAGCCUUGAGGUAUGGAGAGGGAAGUGGAAUUCCUGGUGUAGCGGUGAAAUGCGUAGAUAUCAGGAGGAACACCCGUGGCGAAGGCGGCUUCCUGGCCAUAUCCUGACGCUGAGGCGCGAAAGCUAGGGGAGCGAACGGGAUUAGAUACCCGGNUANUU